GACGAACGCUGGCGGCGUGCUUAACACAUGCAAGUCGAACGGAAAGGCCCUGCUUGCGUGGUGCUCUAGUGUCGAACGGGUGAGUAUCACGUGUGUGAUCUGCCCCUUACUUUUGGAUAAGCCUUGGAAACUGUGUCUCUUAUUGCAUAUGACCACUCUGUCGGCGGUGUGGUGGUUAGAUUAUUUUCGGUGAGGGAUGAGCUCGCGGCCGAUCAGCUUGUUGGUGGGGUAUUGGCGGAUCAAGGCGUCGACGGGUAGCAGGCCGGAGAGGGUGGACAGCGACAUUAGGGCGAAGGUGAGACCCAGACGACUACGGGGGGCAGCAGUAGGGAGUAAUGCAGAAUGAGGGGAAGACUGAUGCAGCAACGCCGCGUGGGGGAUGACGGCGGUCGGGUUGUAAACAACUUUCAGCGAUGACGAAGCAGUUGUGGUGACGGUAGUGGUAAAAGAAGCACCGGCUAACUACGUG
rnacentral:rRNA from 1 species